UGUACAACAGCAAUACAGUUUCCAACUGGGCAGCAAGGAUUCGUUCUGUGAUUGUAUGGAUGAGGAGAUCCCACAUGGCUAAAGUCGUCCUAAAGGAAAAGCAGCAACUCCUCAAGCUGCCCCAGCACAUGCUCCUUUUAGAUGUGAGGACUAGAUGGAACUCCCUGUAUUCGAUGAUGGAGAGAUUUUGUGAACAGUUCCCUGCCAUCCAAGCUGCAGCCAUAGACCAACGGCUUAGAAAGCCCAUGGAGAAGAAGUAAAAAAUUAAAAUGACUUAUAUAAAACUUGGUUGACGAAAGCCACAUUAAUAAGGUUAUGUUUGUUGUUUAUGCAAUAUUGUUACUUUUGUUUUGUUUGUGUUGCAGACUGGCCAUAAUGGGCAAUGAGGACCUGAGGAAAGCAGAGGAGUUUGUGCAGCUGAUGAGGACACAUCCACACUCGCUGUCUCCAGUGAAAAAGUUCCAACCUGUGGCCAGAUAUUGCCCAUCCUUCAGAAACUGCGAAAACAUUACACUGAUGGUGAUAUCCAGGCAUUCCUGGAGGAAGCCACUGUGUUGGAUCCCAGAUUUAAAUCUAAAAUGGACAUGGAUGACAUCUGGGACAGGGUCAGGGCAUCAGCAGUGGCAGCAAACACAGAGGCAGUGGAGAAGGUACUGUAUUUGAAUUUGACAAUGCCUUUAGCACAUUUCUGUUGUGAGACCUUUUCUUCUUGCUCUGUGGUUCUUACUUUACAUUUCUUCUCAAGCUGUCAGAGCCGAGAGAGACACAGGGGCAGGCAGAAGAAGAGGAUGAAGAAAAAGAAGAGGAGGACUACGUAAGUUUAAUGUAGCUAAUUGUGAUGAAUGAUGAUAGAUGGCAGGGCUUAUCACACUAUUUAGUUUAAAACUAAACCUUGUUAUGUCAUAAUUUCAGUCGCCACCUGUAAAGCAGAAAAAGAUGACAGCCCUAGAGGAACUUUUAGAAGAAGAGGACGGCGAGCUGCUUUCCACACAGCAGCUGCCCCCUGUCUCCACAGCCCAGAGAGUGGAUCAAGAAAUCCAGCUUCAUAGAAGCCUUCCUCCCAUUCCAACCAAAGACAGUGCCAGUCUCUGGUAGUGGAAGAAGAGCGACACAUUGCCAGUGUUGUCAGCUCUUGCUGAAAAGUAUCUCUGUGUCCAAGCGUCCUCCACCCCUUCUGAAAGGUUGUUCUCCACUGCUGGAGACACCCUAAGUCCAGAAAGAUCUCGUAUCCUUCCUGAGAGGGCAAACAUGAUAACUUUUUUGCACAAAAAUUGUUAAUUUGCCAAAGUUGUUGUUAGUUGUGUUCUCAUCUUUACAGAAGACUUAUUUAUUUUGUUUAUAUCAGUUGAAUUUUGUUACUUGAAUGCAAAUGAGCACUGUUAAAGAGAUUUAAUACAAACAAACGCAUUUGUACUUAUUUUCUCACCCAAUGAGAAUCGAUAAGAGAAUCGAUAAGGAAUCGGAUCGAUAAGCGGAAUCGGAAUCGGAAUCGUGAAAUUCUCAUCAAUUCCCAUCCCUACU